rnacentral:rRNA from 1 species
AUACGUAGGUGGCGAGCGUUGUCCGGAAUUACUGGGCGUAAAGGGUGCGUAGGCGGAUAAUCAAGUCAGAUGUGAAAGUCCAUGGCUCAACUGUGGGAGUGCAUUUGAGACUGAAGAUCUAGAGUGCAGGAGAGGGAAGCGGAAUUCCUAGUGUAGCGGUGAAAUGCGUAGAUAUUAGGAAGAACACCAGUGGCGAAGGCGGCUUUCUGGACUGUAACUGACGCUGAAGCACGAAAGCGUGGGGAGCAAGCAGGAUUAGAUACCCUGGUAGUCCACGCUGUAAACGAUGAGUAUUAGGUGUAGGGGACGAUAGUCUUCUGUGCCGGAGCAAACGCAGUAAGUACUCCGCCUGGGGAGUACGGUCACAAGACUAAA